AUGAUGAAGGGGGCCGGCGCCAUGAGCACGAUGAAGCCGCCGUCAUCGCCCUUGCUCGACGGCCACGGCCACCACUUCCUCGAGGAGUGCUCCCUCUGCGGCAAGUCCCUCUCCGGCGACAUCUUCAUGUACAGGGGUGACACGCCGUUCUGCAGCGAGGAGUGCAGGCAUCAGCAGAUCGAGGUGGACAGGGCGAGGCACCGGCGGAAGAAGCACGCGGCGGCGCACGCGGUGUCGGCGGCGCGGAAGGUGCAGCACCGGCACCACCACCACCACCACCACCAUCACCAUCACCGUCAGCACCAGCAGCCGGGGCCGGAGCCGCAGCCGCGGGCGGCCAUGGUGGGCUCCGCCCCGUGGGCCGACGCCGGGUUCGCCGCGAGGAGCCCCGCGUUGCGCGAGAUUCUGGUGGAGCACCGGGGCGACACGGUGAGCAGCUUGGUGUACGAGGCGAACGCGCGCGUGGGCGACCCCAUCUACGGCUGCGUCGGCGCCAUCACGUCGCUGCAGCGGCAGGUGGAGUCGCUGCAGACCCAGCUCGCGCUGGCGCAGGCCGAGAUGGUCAGGCUCAGGAUGGCCAACGCCUACGGCGGCACGGCACGCCGCAACGGCGGCGGUGGAAGCAGCGCCAGCGGCUCGCCAUCCUCCAUGUCAUCGCCGACCAAGGCCGCGCCGGAUCAUCACAUGGCGGUCGACCAGUCCGGCGUGAUGGAGCUGGAGCUGGAGUGCUCCAGGUUCUGGUCCUACUGA
rnacentral:rRNA from 1 species